rnacentral:rRNA from 1 species
ACGCUCCUACGGGAGGCAGCAGUGGGGGAUAUUGGGCAAUGGGCGCAAGCCUGACCCAGCAACGUCGCGUGAAGGAAGAAGGCUUUCGGGUUGUAAACUUCUUUUCUCAGGGACGAAGAAAGUGACGGUACCUGAGGAAUAAGCCACGGCUAACUACGUGCCAGCAGCCGCGGUAAUACGUAGGUGGCAAGCGUUAUCCGGAUUUACUGGGUGUAAAGGGCGUGUAGGCGGGAAAGCAAGUCAGAUGUGAAACCAUGGGCUCAACCUGUGGCCUGCAUUUGAAACUGUUUUUCUUGAGUACUGGG